GCUAAGAACGGAUUUUACGAAACUCGACCCCUAAGGGGGUGAAAUGGGGGUUGCAAGUUCGUAUGAACGUCCUAUGAUUUUGAAGUAAGAGACUUGAAAUUUAAAAUGUAUGCUCUAUAGAUGAUGAGAAGGUGUUCAAAUAAUAUAUCUUUAGAAAUCAACUCCCUUUUGGGGUUAAAACGGGGGAUGGUAGGUUUACUCACUCACCACGAAAUCUCCGAAACUAUAACACCUAAAAACUUGAAACUUGGCAGAUAGGCUCCUUAUAGGGCGUAAACAUUCGUUAAGAACGGGUUUUACGAAAUUCGACCCCUAGAGGGGUAAAACGGGGGUUGAAAGUUUGUAUGAAAGUCCUAUGUUUUUGAAGUAAACGACUUGAAAUUUAAAGUGUAUGGUCUAUGGAUGGUGAGGAGGUGUCCAAAUAAUGUAUAUUUAGAACUCAACUCCUUUUUGGGGUUAAAACGGGGGUUCGUAG
rnacentral:misc_RNA from 1 species